rnacentral:rRNA from 1 species
UACGUAGGUGGCUAGCGUUGUCCGGAUUUACUGGGCGUAAAGAGCGCGCAGGCGGUCGUUCAAGUCGAGUGUGAAAGCCCCCGGCUCAACUGGGGAGGGUCACUCGAUACUGAUCGACUCGAAGGCAGGAGAGGGAAGCGGAAUUCCCGGUGUAGCGGUGAAAUGCGUAGAUAUCGGAAGGAACACCAGUGGCGAAAGCGGCUUCCUGGUCCAGCACCGACGUCAGGCACGAAAGCGUGGGGAG